GCAAGGUCGAACGGUCUUUCUAUGGAAGCUUGCUUCCACUGAGAAGAUAGUGGCGAACGGGUGAGUAACACGUGGGUAACCUGCCCAUAAGAGGGGGGAUAACAUCCGGAAACGGGUGCUAAUACCGCAUAGUUUCUUGAUCGCAUGAUCGGGAAAGGAAAGACGGCCUUUGUGCUGUCGCUUAUGGAUGGACCCGCGGCGUAUUAGUUAGUUGGUGAGGUAACGGCUCACCAAGACGAUGAUACGUAGCCGACCUGAGAGGGUGAUCGGCCACAUUGGGACUGAGACACGGCCCAAACUCCUACGGGAGGCAGCAGUAGGGAAUCUUCCGCAAUGGACGAAAGUCUGACGGAGCAACGCCGCGUGAGUGAAGAAAGGUUUUCGGAUCGUAAAACUCUGUUGUCAGAGAAGAACAAGUUGGAGAGUAACUGCUCCAGCCUUGACGGUAUCUGACCAGAAAGCCACGGCUAACUACGUGCCAGCCGCUGC
rnacentral:rRNA from 1 species